GUCUACAGCCAUAACACCCUCAACACGCCCCAUCUUGUCUGAUCUCGGAAGCUAAGCAGGGUCGGGCCUGGUUAGUACUUGGAUGGGAUUCCGCCUGGGAAUACCAGGUGCUGUAGGCU
rnacentral:rRNA from 1 species